rnacentral:rRNA from 1 species
AGCUCCAAUAGCGUAUAUUAAAGUUGUUGCAGUUAAAAAGCUCGUAGUUGAAAUUCUGGUUGCUAAGGCUUCUAGUCUUCGGACGGAAGUACUUACAGCCAUCCGCUUGUAAAUAUAUGUCCGCUCUUAACUGGGCGGCUAUAUGAGCAAGCAUUUUACCUUGAGAAAAACAGAGUGUUCCAGGCAGGCUUGUCCGGAAUGCAUUAGCAUGGAAUAAUAGAAUAUGACUGAGGUCUAUUUAUUGGUUUAAGGCCACAGUAAUGAUUAAUAGGAACAGUCGGGGGCAUUAGUACUUGACAGUCAGAGGUGAAAUUCUUGGAUUUGUCAAAGACUAACAGAUGCGAAAGCGUUUGUCAAGGAUGUUUUCA